AUUGAACGCUGGCGGCAGGCCUAACACAUGCAAGUCGAGCGGAUGAAGAGAGCUUGCUCUCUGAUUCAGCGGCGGACGGGUGAGUAAUGCCUAGGAAUCUGCCUGGUAGUGGGGGACAACGUUUCGAAAGGAACGCUAAUACCGCAUACGUCUUACGAGAGAAAGCAGGGGACCUUCGGGCCUUGCGCUAUCAGAUGAGCCUAGGUCGGAUUAGCUAGUAGGUGAGGUAAAGGCUCACCUAGGCGACGAUCCGUAACUGGUCUGAGAGGAUGAUCAGUCACACUGGAACUGAGACACGGUCCAGACUCCUACGGGAGGCAGCAGUGGGGAAUAUUGGACAAUGGGCGAAAGCCUGAUCCAGCCAUGCCGCGUGUGUGAAGAAGGUCUUCGGAUUGUAAAGCACUUUAAGUUGGGAGGAAGGGCAGUAAGUUAAUACCUUGCUGUUUUGACGUUACCAACAGAAUAAGCACCGGCUAACUUCGUGCCAGCCGCCGCCGUAAGAC
rnacentral:rRNA from 1 species